AUCUGAAAGGAAUGAUGACCGAGGGAGGAUGUGCACCAGCGGCCAGAUCAUUGGGAGCCUGCUGGUGCUCUCUGUGCUGGAGAUAGGGCUGGGGGCGUCCAGCGUUGCCGUGGGGGCAGUGAGCUUCAGCCUGGCCCUCAGAGAGCACCAGCCGCAGCUUGGAGACUCCUCUCCGGUAUGGAGCGGGCUGUGUUUUCUUCUCUGCGGCAUCUGUGGAAUUCUGUGUGCCAAAAAGAAGUCCGGGCUUGUUAUGAUCCUUUUUUCGGCCUGCUGCAUCUGUGGGCUAAUUGGUGGCAUCCUGAAUUUCCAGUUCCUCCGAGCGGUCACCAAGAAGACAUCCUCACUCUACCCCCUGCGCCUGGCCUCCAUGUCUCUGGCCUGCAUUGGGAUUGGGGGCUGUACCCUUUCCUCUUGGCUCACUUGCCGCCUGGCCAGCUAUGAACAAAGACGCAUGUUCUCUGAACGAGAGCACUCCUUGCACCAUUCCCACGAAAUGGCAGAAAAAGUGAGUUCUGGGCCGGGCCCCAUCACUGCCCAUUUGUGUUGAAGGGUGCAUUCUGCGGCUGGGGGAACCUGCUGCCACUUUUAGAAAAUGUCUGGGAGACCCAUGUCGGCCAUCAUCCUCUAGAGGCUUAGCCCUGCUGGAUUGGAAAUGACAGACAAUAUCAGCAAUGGAGGGCCACAACUAAUAUUUAACGGAAGAGUAUAACAGACAUUUUUACAACAUUGAACCAUUCUUUCUUGAUUUUGGAUUUCCAUCAGAAAAAGGAUUCAUCCAGUAUGGAAACACUGUUGGCUUUUCCUGGCAGGUUUCUGCUGUUCUGGAACACCCUGGCACAUUUCCCUCUUGGAUUUUUACUAACAUUUCUCCUCCUGGACUUGGCCACACAGAGCUUUCCAGUUGUCUCUAUUAGGCUAAGAACUUUCCAGGAGUGUUGUCAGAAGGGCUUUCAGAUCAGUUUCUCAGAUCACUUUCAUGAAGGUUUUUCAGAAGAGGAAAUAAACGAAACAAAAAUUGUGUUCCAGUAUGGCCUAAGCCACACUUUAACCGGCAUAAGGAGACAGGGGAGAGAGAAAGGUGAAGCUUGCCUAUGACUGGUCUCAAGCUGUAGAUUAAAUGAAUGCCCAUCUUCUGAGGAUAUUGAUGUUCUGAACAAUGGACGGCUGCAAGAACAGCAUGACUCAAGAUAUCAGCCAUGCCUUGUUACAAAAAACAAAAACAAAAAAACCCCAAACAUCUGUAAAUAUUUCCAGUUUUUGGAUUCAGCAUAUUUCAUAAUUUAUUCAUAAAAUAAGAUAAAUAAAAUGAAGCCUAAAUUAGAAGUAAAGUGAUUUUUUUUUCUUUUCAGAAAGAACACUAGUCAGUAUGAAUGAUAGCUUUAUAUUGCUUGCACAAUGAUUGGAAAGGUUGCCAAACGAUUAUGAUUUUCUAAAACCUAUGUUCUCUUUUAUCAGACUGUACAAAAGAAUCUGGGUCCAGAAAUAAUGACUCUGCCACACAAAAGUAUGUGUACAUAUAUACUGUAAAUAUAGAAAAAUAUAUGACAUAUAUUUAUAAUAUACAUGUAUGUAAAUAGAUUGGGGGGAAAUUGGGAAGAUUUCAGCUUAUCCCCACAAAUUUGUGAUAGAAGUUAGCCAAUUUUUCCUAUAUCUUUUUCAGAGACUACACAUCAUUGAAUUAAUUUUGAUGUGUCUUUUUUUUUCUCCUUGAACCCAUUUGGUGGAUGUAAAUAUUGUUGUAUUUGGUGUUGGGUCAUGAGGAAAAGGUUUUUGAACAAGAUGAUUAAUCAAAAAGGGAAAUUGUAGAAGAAUUGGACCUUCUGAAUAUGGUUUGCAAAACACAGGUUUAGGGGGCAGCUAGGUGGCACAGUGGAUAAAGUACCGGCCCUGGAUUCAGGAGGACCUGAGUUCAAAUCCAGCCUCAGACACUUGACACAAGCUGUGUGACCCUGGGCAAGUCACUUAACCUUCAUUGCCCUGCAAAAAAAAAAAAAAAGAAAGAAAAGAAAACAUAGGUUUUUACGUCACAAUGUCUAUUUCAUAUGCAUAUCACCCAUAUUUAAGCUAGGUACCUACAUGUUUACUUAUAUCAACUCUUCAUCACCUAAGUAAUUUUCAAUUCUUUCUAGUCAAACUCAGGCAUGUGGAUAACAGGUCAUCUAGUCCCCAAAUAAUGAAAUUCAAAUGGCCUUAGGGUUUCCUUUAUUUAAAACUUCAGAUAAAGCAAUAGAGUAUUGAUGCUUAGCCAGAAAUUAGACAUUCUGUGGCCCUCAAAGAGACCUCAGCUGGAAGAAUGAGAGAGAAAAUGUAUAAAAACUAUUCAUGGCUGAAUCUUCAAAUAACCAUUGAUGACACUGAUGAGUAGACACAGAAAAGGAUCAUCAUCUCAGGAAAUGAAUGCAUUACCUUUGUAUCAUUUUUUCACUUCUGUUUGACUGCAUAUUGUACAAAGUCCUUUCUCACAUGAUCUCAUGUGAUCCUCACCAAAACCUUAUGAAGCAGGUAAAACAAUUAUUCUUUUUCUCUAUUUAAAGACAACAAAAUAAAUACCUGGAGAAAUUGAGGAACUUCCUCUGGGUCACACAGCUUGUAAAUGGUGGACAGGAUUCGAAUAUGGAUCUUCUGAAGUGCUCUUCCUAUGUGCUUUCAAUCAUGCCAUUAAAGCCCCCAUUCUAUUUUAUGGACAUAGAAGUUCUGGCAACAACUAGGGAAAUUAAUUUUUGAUUAGUGAAAUGGCCCUGAAUCAGAUUUUGAUUUCAAGGAGAAAGGGUGAGGUUGAGACCAUUUUUAAAAAAUAUAAAAUUGGGAUAUCUUAACAUGGAGUGGCUGAACUCUAUGGGAAGGGACACAUUUCUAUUUGAGAACCUUGCUAUGAUCUUUAUGCAGAAAAAAUGUCCAGAAUUUUAGCUAAUGGCAAACUAAAAUUCUACUGAUGACUUCUAAACUGCUUAAUAAUCAUCCCCUUACAAUCCUAUGGAAACCAGUGAAUCAAAAAGUUUUUUUUCCCCCUCCUCAUUGUCUCUCUGGAUGAAAACAGUGGCCAAUUUGGUGCUGGUGUUUUGUUUUGUUUUCAUUUUUCUAUUCUUACCAAAAGCCUUGCCAGCUUAUCUGUAUCUUCACAUUAUCAAGUCAAUGGAUUCUAGAAGUCUCAUCUCAUGAAAAAUACUAAACGAAUAUAUGAUGGUGCUUGGGUGGUGUGCAUGUGCCCAGCUGGCCUCUAGCCCCGGAAAUCCCAACUGUCCAAGGACACUCUUGCAGUCCUGCUUUCUAAGACUCUAUUACUUGGAUGAUUAUAAUUUUUUAAAUAACAGAAUAAACACCGAAUGUAGCUUAACAUGGUGUUUCUUCCUUUGUGACCAUGUUAGUAAAAUAUGAAGCGCAAUGCAUUAGGCCCAGAGCUGUUUUCUGGGUAAGAUAUUUAUCCCCCUUGAACACUUUUACAAAAAACUACAGUAAAAACAAAACAAAACAAAACCAAAAUCCUUUUUUUUUUUUAAAGUGGCAUAUGGACAGACUAUUGUUCCUUUUUUGAAAAGCUGUCAUAAGAGACCCUAACAACCAAUAUAAUUAAGAACAAGAACGAAUGGCAUAUGCUAGAUGACAUAUUCAUAUAUCUCUUUUCAAAUGCAAUUAUUGUAAGUUUUAAAAAAAAGUCUCAGGGCUGAAAUCACAUUGAGAUUUAAAUGGAAUCUUUUCUGAUCUCAUUCCAGAGAAGGGAAAGCAUCUCAAAUCCAUGUCUGUGUGCUUGGAAAUUUAAUUUCCAUCACACAUUGAAUUGACUUAUAAUUUUAUAAGUGACUACAUUCAAGAGUUGGCAUGAGCCAGUGCCCUCCGGGGUGUUGUAAUGGGAGACCUAAUGCCCAACUGUCAGGGGGGCUGAUGUGGUAUUGGUAUGGCGAGUCCAGCCAUGCCAUGGAGAGGCAGGUCCUGCCAGAAGCCUCAGAGGGAGAAGGGGGAGUCUGCCUGGAAAAUGGAGAAAUUAAUAGGGUUGUGGUCGCCAAGGAGAACAUUUGACAGAAGAGUUGGUCCUGUGACUGUGCUGAUAUGUGUCUCUUUAAUA